GAUGAAGAACGUAGCGAAAUGCGAUAAGUAAUGUGAAUUGCAGAAUUCAGUGAAUCAUCGAAUCUUUGAACGCACAUUGCGCCCGCUGGUAUUCCGGCGGGCAUGCCUGUUCGAGCGUCAUUUCAACCCUCAAGCUCUCCGGAGUUUGGUGUUGGGGCGCCUGGGGCUUUUCGACCUCAGGGCCCUCAAGUCCAUCGGCGGGACCGCCAGGACACUGAGCGCAGUAGUAUUAUUUCGCUCGGUAGGAUCUUCCACGGCGGGUCGAUCUGGCCGCUAAACCCCCCAAUUCUCACCAAAGGUUGACCUCGGAUCAGGUAGGAAUACCCGCUGAACUUAAGCAUAUCAAUAAGCGGGGA
rnacentral:misc_RNA from 1 species